rnacentral:rRNA from 1 species
CCUACGGGUGGCAGCAGUGAGGAAUAUUGGUCAAUGGGAGGAAUCCUGAACCAGCCAUGCCGCGUGCAGGACGACGGCUCUACGAGUUGUAAACUGCUUUUGUACCGGGGUAAAAUGCUCUACGAGUAGGGUUUUGAAAGUACGGUACGAAUAAGGAUCGGCUAAUUCCGUGCCAGCAGCCGCGGUAAUACGGAGGAUCCGAGCGUUAUCCGGAUUCAUUGGGUUUAAAGGGUGCGUAGGUUGUUUUAUAAGUUAGCGGUGAAAUACCGAUGCUCAACAUCGGGGCUGCCGCUGAUACUGUAGGACUAGAGAUCGGAUGCAGCAGGCGGAAUGUGUAGUGUAGCAGUGAAAUGCGGAGAUAUCGAGAGGAACACUCGUGGCGAAGGCGGGUUCCUGGACAUUAACUGACGCUGAGGCACGAAGGCCAGGGGAGCGAAAGGGAUUAGAUACCCCUGUAGUC